rnacentral:rRNA from 1 species
GAUGAACGCUGGCGGCGUGCCUAAUACAUGCAAGUCGAGCGAACAGACGAGGAGCUUGCUCCUCUGACGUUAGCGGCGGACGGGUGAGUAACACGUGGAUAACCUACCUAUAAGACUGGGAUAACUUCGGGAAACCGGAGCUAAUACCGGAUAAUAUAUUGAACCGCAUGGUUCAAUAGUGAAAGACGGUUUUGCUGUCACUUAUAGAUGGAUCCGCGCCGCAUUAGCUAGUUGGUAAGGUAACGGCUUACCAAGGCGACGAUGCGUAGCCGACCUGAGAGGGUGAUCGGCCACACUGGAACUGAGACACGGUCCAGACUCCUACGGGAGGCAGCAGUAGGGAAUCUUCUGCAAUGGGCGAAAGCCAGACGGAGCAACGCCGCGUGAGUGAUGAAGGUCUUCGGAUCGUAAAACUCUGUUAUUAGGGAAGAACAAAUGUGUAAGUAACUAUGCACGUCUUGACGGUACCUAAUCAGAAAGCCACGGCUAACUACGUG